rfam:Cucumis sativus cultivar 9930 chromosome 6, whole genome shotgun sequence.
GCACCAGUGGUCUAUUGGUAGAUUAGUACCCUACCACGGUUUAGACCCGGGUUCGACUCCCGGAUGGUGCA